rnacentral:rRNA from 1 species
AUUGAACGCUGGCGGCAUGCUUUACACAUGCAAGUCGAACGGCAGCGCGGGCUUCGGCCUGGCGGCGAGUGGCGAACGGGUGAGUAAUGCAUCGGAACGUGCCCAGUAGUGGGGGAUAGCCCGGCGAAAGCCGGAUUAAUACCGCAUACGACCUGAGGGUGAAAGCGGGGGACCGAAAGGCCUCGCGCUAUUGGAGCGGCCGAUGUCGGAUUAGCUAGUUGGUGGGGUAAAGGCUUACCAAGGCGACGAUCCGUAGCUGGUCUGAGAGGACGACCAGCCACACUGGGACUGGGACACGGCCCAGACUCCUACGGGAGGCAGCAGUGGGGAAUUUUGGACAAUGGGGGCAACCCUGAUCCAGUCAUGCCGCGUGCGGGAAGAAGGCCUUCGGGUUGUAAACCGCUUUUGUUCGGGAAGAAAUCCUCUGGGCUAAUACCCCGGGGGGAUGACGGUACCGGAAGAAUAAGCACCGGCUAACUACGUG